rnacentral:rRNA from 1 species
GAUGAACGCUGGCGGCGUGCCUAAUACAUGCAAGUCGAACGAAACUUCUUUAUCACCGAGUGCUUGCACUCACCGAUAAAGAGUUGAGUGGCGAACGGGUGAGUAACACGUGGGCAACCUGCCCAAAAGAGGGGGAUAACACUUGGAAACAGGUGCUAAUACCGCAUAACCAUAGUUACCGCAUGGUAACUAUGUAAAAGGUGGCUAUACUACCGCUUUUGGAUGGGCCCGCGGCGCAUUAGCUAGUUGGUAGGGUAAAGGCUUACCAAGGCAAUGAUGCGUAGCCGAAUUGAGAGGUUGAUCGGCCACAUUGGGACUGAGACACGGCCCAAACUCCUACGGGAGGCAGCAGUAGGGAAUCUUCCACAAUGGGCGAAAGCCUGAUGGAGCAACGCCGCGUGGGUGAAGAAGGUCUUCGGAUCGUAAAACCCUGUUGUUAGAGAAGAAAGUGCGUGGGAGUAACUGUUCACGUUUCGACGGUAUCUAACCAGAAAGCCACUGCUAACUACGUG